rnacentral:rRNA from 1 species
AGCAGUCGCCGCGGUAAUACGUAGGGUGCAAGCGUUAAUCGGAAUUACUGGGCGUAAAGCGUGCGCAGGCGGUUAUAUAAGACAGAUGUGAAAUCCCCGGGCUCAACCUGGGAACUGCAUUUGUGACUGUAUAGCUAGAGUACGGCAGAGGGGGAUGGAAUUCCGCGUGUAGCAGUGAAAUGCGUAGAUAUGCGGAGGAACACCGAUGGCGAAGGCAAUCCCCUGGGCCUGUACUGACGCUCAUGCACGAAAGCGUGGGGAGCAAACAGGAUUAGAGACCCCUGUAGUCCUGUCUCUUAUACA